CAAUAGCGUAUAUUAAAGUUGUUGCAGUUAAAAAGCUCGUAGUUGGAUUUCUGGUUGAAGCGACCGGUCGGGCGUUGAUUCGUCUGCACUGGAGUCGGUUUUGGCCAUCCUCUAGGAAAGUGCGUCUGGUAUUAAGUUAUCGGGCGUAUGAUCCUGGUCUUUUACUGUGAAAAAAUUAGAGUGUUUAAAGCAGGCCUUCGCCUUGAAUACAUUAGCAUGGAAUAAUAAGAUAGGACUUUGGUCUAUUUUGUUGGUUUGCAGACCGAAGUAAUGAUUAAUAGGGAUAGUUGGGGGUAUUUAUAUUCCUAUGUCAGAGGUGAAAUUCUUAGAUUUUCGGAAGAUAAACUUAUGCGAAAGCAUUUACCAAGGAUGUUUUCAUUAA
rnacentral:rRNA from 1 species